GGGUCAGUAGGUUGGUCGUGCCACCGGUACGUACUGGUCUCACCGAUUCCUCCUUCCUGAAGAACCGUAAUGCCAUUAAUUUGGUGUUGCGGGGAAACAGGACUGUUACUUUGAAAAAAUUAGAGCGUUUAAAGCAAGCUAACGCUUGAAUACAUUAGCAUAGAAUAAUGAAAUAGGACGAUCGAUCCUAUUUUGUUGGUUUCUAGGAUUGACGUA
rnacentral:rRNA from 1 species